rnacentral:rRNA from 1 species
UACGUAGGGGGCAAGCGUUGUCCGGAAUUAUUGGGCGUAAAGCGCGCGCAGGCGGUUAUUUAAGUCGGGUGUUUAAGCCCGGGGCUCAACCCCGGUUCGCAUCCGAAACUGGAUGACUUGAGUGUAGGAGAGGAAAGUGGAAUUCCACGUGUAGCGGUGAAAUGCGUAGAGAUGUGGAGGAACACCAGUGGCGAAGGCGACUUUCUGGCCUAUAACUGACGCUGAGGCGCGAAAGCGUGGGGAGCAAACA